AGUGAACGCUGGCGGUAGGCCUAACACAUGCAAGUCGAACGGCAGCACAGUAAGAGCUUGCUCUUACGGGUGGCGAGUGGCGGACGGGUGAGGAAUACAUCGGAAUCUACUUUUUCGUGGGGGAUAACGUAGGGAAACUUACGCUAAUACCGCAUACGACCUACGGGUGAAAGCAGGGGAUCUUCGACCUUGCGCGAUUGAAUGAGCCGAUGUCGGAUUAGCUAGUUGGCGGGGUAAAGGCCCACCAAGGCGACGAUCCGUAGCUGGGCUGAGAGGAUGAUCAGCCACACUGGAACUGAGACACGGUCCAGACUCCUACGGGAGGCAGCAGUGGGGAAUAUUGGACAAUGGGCGCAAGCCUGAUCCAGCCAUACCGCGUGGGUGAAGAAGGCCUUCGGGUUGUAAAGCCCUUUUGUUGGGAAAGAAAAGCAGCAGGUUAAUACCCCGCUGUUCUGACGGUACCCAAAGAAUAAGCACCGGCUAACUUCGUG
rnacentral:rRNA from 1 species